rnacentral:rRNA from 1 species
CCCUUAGAUGUUCUGGGCCGCACGCGCGCUACACUGACGAUGUCAGAGAGUGUCUCCUUCACCGAGAGGUGUGGGUAAUCUUUUAAACAUCGUCGUGCUGGGGAUAGAUCAUUGCAAUUUUUGAUCUUAAACGAGGAAUUCCUAGUAAGCGCGAGUCAUCAGCUCGCGCUGAUUACGUCCCUGCCCUUUGUACACACCGCCCGUCGCUACUACCGAUUGAAUGGUUUAGUGAGGCCUUCUGACUGGCGCCGCUACUCUGGCAACAGAGCGACGGAUGCCGGGAAGUUGGUCAAACUUGAUCAUUUAGAGGAAGUAAAAGUCGUAACA